GGCAGUGUGGCAUAAUGGUGUGAGUGUUGGACUAUGACUCUGGAGACCAGGGUUCCAUUCCAAGCUCAGCCA
rnacentral:tRNA from 1 species